rnacentral:rRNA from 1 species
UACGUAGGGGGCAAGCGUUGUCCGGAUUCAUUGGGCGUAAAGGGCGCGCAGGCGGCUCGGAAAGUCGGGUGUGAAAACUCGGGGCUCAACCCCGGGCGUGCAUCCGAUACUGCCGGGCUUGAGGCAGGUAGGGGAGAUCGGAAUUCCUGGUGUAGCGGUGAAAUGCGCAGAUAUCAGGAGGAACACCGGUGGCGAAGGCGGAUCUCUGGGCCUGUCCUGACGCUGAGGCGCGAAAGCUAGGGGAGCGAACAGG